UGAAUACGGAAAUAUUGAAGGGAAGUUUGGGCAGAAAGGAAAGGACUAUGUUAAAUGGGCAGCAAAGAUGGCUUUAAGCCUUGGUGCUGGGGUUCCAUGGGUGAUGUACAGGCAAACUGAUGCUCCGGAUGAAGUUAUAGAUGCAUGCAAUGGAUACUACUGUGAUGGUUAUAGGCCAAAUUCCUAUAACAAACCCACACUUUGGACUGAAAAUUGGGAUGGAUGAAUUAUGGUGCAUUCUUGGAGAAAGACGGAGCAGGGUUUAGAGGGCAAGUUAAACUUACUGGAUUUCAAAAUGGGGAUAUAGACCUCUCAAAGUCUUUAUGGACCUACCAGGUUGGGCUCAAGGGAGAAUUCUUGAAGAUAUAUGCUGCAGAAGAAAAUGAAAAGGCAGGGUGGACUGAUUUAACUCCAGAUGCUGAUCCAUCGAUAUUAACAAUUUGAUGGCACCGCCUCCACCACCUCCAACAGACCAAGCUUCGUAUGCAAAUUUAAGAGAGUCGCCAUCUAUUUCAGUUCGGGAGUCAAAAGAUGAUUCUUAGUUUAUUUACAUUAAUUUACUAAGGAAUGAACUUUAUGAAGUUUUUUUUAUUUUGGUAGGGGUAACCUUAAAAUGAUAACUUUAUGCCUUAUUUUAGUAUUGAACAUUAUAAAGAAUUUUAGCAUUAAAAUUUUUAUUA